AACGAACGCUGGCGGCAUGCCUAACACAUGCAAGUCGAACGAGACCUUCGGGUCUAGUGGCGCACGGGUGCGUAACGCGUGGGAACCUGCCCUUAGGUUUGGAAUAACUCCCCGAAAGGGGUGCUAAUACCGGAUAAUGUCUUCGGACCAAAGAUUUAUCGCCUUUGGAUGGGCCCGCGUUGGAUUAGCUAGUUGGUAGGGUAAAAGCCUACCAAGGCGACGAUACAUAGCUGGUCAGAGAGGAUGAUCAGCCACACUGGGACUGAGACACGGCCCAGACUCCUACGGGAGGCAGCAGUGGGGAAUAUUGGAACAUGGGCGAAAGCCUGAUGCAGCAAUGCCGCGUGAGUGAUGAAGGCCUUAGGGUUGUAAAGCUCUUUUAACCGGGAUGAUAAUGACAGUACCGGGAGAAUAAGCUCCGGCUAACUCCGUG
rnacentral:rRNA from 1 species